GUCGCAGCAACAAGAAAGUGCUUACAAUGAUUGACUUUAUUUGAGCGCUGAUACAAUGCUGGCAGAAAAAUGUCAAUGCCAAGAACAGUUCAGCUUAGAGCAGCUUAUAAACUGAUCUACACGUGGCAUCACAUAC